rnacentral:misc_RNA from 1 species
GGAACUUCAAAAUAUUUCCCAGUGCAAUCUGCAACAUAAUAACAAGGAGCCAUAACACUACGAAAUUGAAGGAUAUAAAGUAACAAUAAGAAAUUGAAGGAUAUAAAGAUAUUACAAAGAAAGUUCAAAACAAAUCCAAAAACUACCCUGCUUGAAUCUUCUAAUGAAGGAUAGGCAGCCUUGGUCUCAUAGUUAGUUCCGUACAAUUCUUUGAAAUUACUGAAGACAUGGGUAGGAUGUAAAAAUGCUCCACCACAACCAUUUACAAGUAAAUGUUGCACAUGAACAGGCCUAUCUGAUGGAACAUAUGAAUGACGCAUAUAAUGAUGCAAAUCCCCAGCUAUUUGAAGCUUGCACCUUCCUUUCAAAUAAUCACAUAUCAGGUGCGAGACAUUCUUUCCAGAAACACUAUUCCAGUACCAAUCGAGCAGCCAAUUUGGUUCAUGUGUCAUAAUGAUCACUGAGUCAUUAUCUCCAACCUUCUCCUUUAUUAGUUCUGAAAAGAAUUUGAACUGGUACACAUCAAUAUCAUUAUGGAGUGCUAGAUCAAGACCAAAAACCCACCAUCUUUUAGGGAGUUGCAACGCAAAAUAGCUCUUCUUCUGGGGCAUAAACCACCCGCCUAACCAGCUCUUGUGACAUAUGUAUCUCAUGAAAGUAUGAAGUCCAUCAAACCAAUCAUGGUUUCCAGGGAUGACAAAACACUGAGGUCCAUCAUACUGCUUCAGUUCAGACACCCCAACAGGCAGCUCAGGCUUGUUUACAGAUACAUGCUCUGGUUUAUACCACGACGGAGGCUGUAGAGCAUAUUCAAAAG